rnacentral:rRNA from 1 species
GACGAACGCUGGCGGCGUGCUUAACACAUGCAAGUCGAGCGAUGAAGUUCCUUCGGGAACGGAUUAGCGGCGGACGGGUGAGUAACACGUGGGUAACCUGCCUCAUAGAGGGGAAUAGCCUUCCGAAAGGAAGAUUAAUACCGCAUAAGAUUGUAGCUUCGCAUGAAGUAGCAAUUAAAGGAGUAAUCUGCGAUGAGAUGGACCCGCGUCGCAUUAGCUAGUUGGUGAGGUAACGGCUCACCAAGGCGACGAUGCGUAGCCGACCUGAGAGGGUGAUCGGCCACAUUGGGACUGAGACACGGCCCAGACUCCUACGGGAGGCAGCAGUGGGGAAUAUUGCACAAUGGGGGAAACCCUGAUGCAGUGACGCCGCGUGAGUGAUGACGGUCUUCGGAUUGUAAAACUCUGUCUUCAGGGACGAUAAUGACGGUACCUGAGGAGGAAGCCACGGCUAACUACGUGCCAGCCGCCGCGGUAA